AGCUGGAGAAGCAAGGCAAAAGUGAGAGCAGGAACAUCUCAGCCCGGCGCAAACACCUCAACAAAACGUGGCUGCGGCUGCAGGGGACUCUGAAGGAGCACCACGAGACUCUGCAGCUGGCCCUGGAGGUGUCCGCCUUCUUCCAGCAAGCGGAUAUCCUGCUCGGGGCCAUUCAUGCGAAGCACAGCAGCAUCUGCGGCACAGGGAAGUCAGUGGAGGGUGUGCCAUGCCAGGAU
rnacentral:lncRNA from 1 species